rnacentral:rRNA from 1 species
GACGAACGCUGGCGGCGUGCCUAAUACAUGCAAGUCGUACGCAUCUUUUUCACCGGAGCUUGCUCCACCGAAAAAGAUGAGUGGCGAACGGGUGAGUAACACGUGGGUAACCUGCCCAUCAGAAGGGGAUAACACUUGGAAACAGGUGCUAAUACCGUAUAAUAGUUUGACCCGCAUGGGUUGAAUUUGAAAGGCGCUUUUGCGUCACUGAUGGAUGGACCCGCGGCGUAUUAGCUAGUUGGUGAGGUAAUGGCUCACCAAGGCAACGAUACGUAGCCGACCUGAGAGGGUGAUCGGCCACAUUGGGACUGAGACACGGACCAAACUCCUACGGGAGGCAGCAGUAGGGAAUCUUCGGCAAUGGACGAAAGUCUGACCGAGCAACGCCGCGUGAGUGAAGAAGGUUUUCGGAUCGUAAAACUCUGUCGGUAAAGAAGAACAAGGGUGAGAGUAAAAAGUUCACUCCUUGACGGUAUUUACCCAGAAAGCCACGGCUAACUACGUGCCAGCAGCCGCAGUAA